CAAAAAAUUUUGCUUCUGUGGAAGGGUUCUUAACUAUGCCAAAUUAAGGCAGCCAGCACACCCAGCAGGGGUCCUGGGCCACACUCUUUAGAUGGUCAGGGCUCAGUCUCACAUUCUUAUGCUGUUGGUUAACUUAAAGUAGCACAGUUGCUAAGCAGAAAGAAGGCAAUUUGAGCACUGAGUGCAAACUUGAUCACAUCCUUUGCUGCUGACACCGGAAGAAUUUGAACCUCUGCGAUACAGCUUCUUUGCAAUUUUUUCAAAUGAAUUUUUUUGCUUUAUUUAACUCUUUGAUAGAAAAGACAGUGUAUUUCUUUUUCUCUUACUCAGUGGGAGAAAUGGUUCAGCAAUCAAGAGUGCUUGCUGCACUUCAGACUGCCUGAAUCCCAUCCCGGCACCCAUGUCAGAUGGCUCUCAAUUGCCUGAAACCUCAGCUGCAUGGGGGUCCUAUGCUCUUUUAUGGCCGCCUUUGGGCACCCAAACACAUAUGCCAGAAACGUGGACACAUACAGGGGCUGGUGAGAUGGCUUAGCAAUGACUGCUUUUCUGAAGGUUCUGAAUAUCCCACCAACCACAUGGUGGCUCACAACCACCUGUAAUGAGAUCUACGCCCUCUUCUGGUGUAUCUGACAGCUACAGUGUACUUACAUG
rnacentral:lncRNA from 1 species